UACGUAGGUGGCAAGCGUUAUCCGGAUUUACUGGGUGUAAAGGGCGUGUAGGCGGUUUUGCAAGUCAGAUGUGAAAUCUCCGGGCUUAACCCGGAAACUGCAUCUGAAACUGCAGAACUUGAGUACUGGAGAGGAUAGUGGAAUUCCUAGUGUAGCGGUAAAAUGCGUAGAUAUUAGGAGGAACACCAGUGGCGAAGGCGACUAUCUGUACAGUAACUGACGCUGAGGCGCGAAAGCGUGGGGAGCAAACAGGAUUAGAUACCCCUGUA
rnacentral:rRNA from 1 species